rnacentral:misc_RNA from 1 species
GUUAAAUCGACUUCACUAAUGAGCGGACACUUCAGUAUUAAUUUAUGCAAAGUGGUUGUUUUAAAGUUCAAAAGAUGUGUUGCUCUUAAUUUUCUUAAAGAUGGAAAUGACUUGAAGAAGAUCUCAAUGGUGGAUUCAAGAUGUAACCUUGGACACUUUGAAAUAUCCACCUCCUCAACUGCUUCAAAAGAGAGAGUUGAUGGCAACCCAUGCAAGAUUCCACUUCCACAUUGAUCUCUGCUGGUGCUCAGACGUUCAAGGUUGAUCAAAGACUGUCUAAUGCUUUUCCUCAACAUGAGGUCCACACGAUAUGAAGAAGGAAGCAAAGAGAGGAGAAGAAUCACUGAUGUUAUUUGUGGACAACCUGAAAGGUUCACUUUCUUAGAAUAUUCUGUCACCCGUAUCCUUAGAUGAUCCAAGUCACCAUCUUCAAAGACACCAAUUGAGUCUGCAGGUGGAAUCUUCAGCAGUCUAAAUAUUGUAUCAAUGCUUUCCUCAGCAAGCUCUGUAAAAUAGCAUGAUCUUCUUUUUCCUGCAGCAAACCACAACGGCAAAAGACUAAUCCGGAUCUGUUUUAAAAUGCCAGUGCAGUCAUCUUCAACUUUGCCAAAAG